rnacentral:rRNA from 1 species
UAAUAGUUAUAUUCUUUAAACCCAAAGAAUUUGGCGGUGUUUUAGUCUAUUUAGAGGAAUUUGUCCCUUAAUCGAUAUUCCCCGUUUUAUCUUACUUUAAUUUGUUUUCAGUUUGUAUACCGCUGUUAUAAGUUUAUUUUAAAAGAAUUAGAAUUUACUUUAUUUUUUAUUUAUAUUUAUUUCAAGUCAAGGUGCAGUUAAUGUUAAAGUGGAGGUGAAUUACAUUAUUUUUGAUAUAUGGAUUUUUUAUUUAAAAUUUUUUUGAAAGUGGAUUUAAUAGUAAUUUUAUUAAUAAUGUUAAUUUGAUUUUAGCUCUAGAAUAAGUACACAUCGCCCGUCGCUCU